AUUAGGGUUCGAUUCCGGAGAGGGAGCCUGAGAAACGGCUACCACAUCUAAGGAAGGCAGCAGGCGCGCAAAUUACCCAAUCCUAAUACAGGGAGGUAGUGACAAGAAAUAACAAUACAGGACUUUUUGGUUUUGUAAUUGGAAUGAGUUAAGUAUAAACCCCUUUACAAGUAUCAAUUGGAGGGCAAGUCUGGUGCCAGCAGCCGCGGUAAUUCCAGCUCCAAUAGCGUAUAUUAAAGUUGUUGCAGUUAAAAAGCUCGUAGUUGGAUUUCUGUUAAUAAUUUAUAUAAUAUAUUUUGAUGAAUAUUUAUAUAAUAUUAACAUAAUUCAUAUUACUAUUUUUUUUUAGUAUAUGAAAUUUUACUUUGAGAAAAUUAGAGUGCUUAAAGCAGGCAUAUGCCUUGAAUACUCCAGCAUGGAAUAAUAUUAAAGAUUUUUAUCUUUUUUAUUGGUUCUAAGAUAAGAAUAAUGAUUAAUAGGGACAGUUGGGGGCAUUUGUAUGUAACAGUCAGAGGG
rnacentral:rRNA from 1 species